CCUCCAUCAGAUCCCCGGAAUAGCAGCCUCUGUGCCUGUCCAUGUCCAGGAGGAGCAUCUGACCCCUGCGUCCCACGCAGAUUCUCUGCUGGGACGUUAACCCCUGGGCUGCCUGAGCACCUGCAUCCUUCAGUCCGUGCCCUACCUUGCUCUAGGCAUUGAGAAACAGACGUGGAGAAAGGAGCCAAAAAUCCUCAUAACUUGGGCCACAAAAGAGGCAAUCGUGGACUGCAGUGUGUUGCAUAGAGACUCCUGUAUGAGACAAGAACGUGGGGCCACUCUGAGGAGGUGACCACAGGACUGUGAGCUCAGUGAGAAGGCCGGCCCAGUGUCCCUGCAGAUUCACAGAGCGACCUUAAGGUCAGCUGCCCUCUCGGGCCAGGGGUGGCAUUACUGGACUUUAUUCCCAUUAAGAAAAACAUGGAACACCUGUGAGCCGUCAUUGCCAGGAAGUCGGGACUUGCUGAAUGGACAGAGCCUCCUCAGGGCUGGAACGAGACUGAGGUGGAGUGAGGGCCACUGAGCACGCGAGAAGGGGCCAGUGUCGUGACCCCCAAGCCUUUCCCAGCCCCUUGAGGUGCGAGUUGAGUGGAGCCACCCUUCAAAUAACCAGGUCGAAGCGUGAGCUUCUUUCAUUUUUUUUUUUUCAAUAUUUAAAAAAAUAUGUUACAAAACAAUAUCAUUCAUCAUAUAUUUCUUGCUUAUGUUCCUUCUUAAAAAUAUUAAAGUCAUAAAAAAGUCA